rnacentral:lncRNA from 1 species
AUUCCUCUUCCAAAGCUUCCACCGAUCAGCCUGGAAACGGAGCUGGGGGCAGGAAAGGCCCUCUGUGUGUUCUAGAGUAGUCUUCAACCCCUGGGUCCCUCUGUUCCCUGCAUCUUCCUGUGCUGAGAGAGGAAGCCUGGUGUUUGAGGCGAUGUGGGGAUGUAGAGACAACUUCCCAGUCUCAUUUCCUCAUCCUGCCAGGCCACCAUGGCGGAGCUGCAGGAGGUGCAGAUCACAGAGGAGAAGCCACUGUUGCCAGGACAGACGCCUGAGGCGGCCAAGACUCACUCUGUGGAGACACCAUACGGCUCUGUCACUUUCACUGUCUAUGGCACCCCCAAACCCAAACGCCCAGCGAUCCUUACCUACCACGAUGUGGGACUCAACUCCACUGUUUCAGUUCGAGGACAUGCAGGAAAUCAUUCAGAACUUUGUGCGGGUUCAUGUGGAUGCCCCUGGAAUGGAAGAGGGAGCCCCUGUGUUCCCUUUGGGAUAUCAGUACCCAUCUCUGGACCAGCUUGCAGACAUGAU